rnacentral:tRNA from 1 species
GUUUGUGGCUCAGUGGUAGAGGGCUUGCCUAGCACGUGUGAGGCCCUGGGUUCGAUCCUCAGUACCACA